rnacentral:lncRNA from 1 species
CAUCAGUCAUGUGGUUUCCAAGAAACUGAAGAUUUAGACAGAGAAAUGACUUGCAGAGAGAAACUCUGUGACUACGUCAGGGGAAAAAAAGCACAUUUAGUCAGAUCUGUUAACUAACAUGGCCUGGGCACCACAUUUCUAAAAUAAACGGGUGUUUUCUUAUCCUAGGGAACAAGAUCUGUGUGAUUUAUCUAAAUUCCUGUCUUGCCUCUGAAGAUUCUGUGGAGAAUAAUGAAUGAGAAGCAAGCUAAGCCCAGGCUUAAGUGGCUGCCUUACAGGAUUCCCAGGGCUCUGGGGCCCCUGGCUGGCCACCACCGCUCCUCUCCCCUUGCAGAGGCAGGCUCCUCAGCACAGCAGAGCAGAAGAAAGACUUUUCUCUAACAAUUAAUUUGUGUGACAAGAUGUGCUGGAAAGAAAAAAGCAGCAGAAGAAAGGAGUUUUCCUUUGUUGCUUGUUUAUCCUUGAAGCACGCUCUGUGCACCUGACACGUUUGCUGGCUUCAUUCUGGAUCUAAUGCAAGACACUGGCACAGUCUCACUGCUGUGGUUAAUUUUAAAUGCAACAAGAUCACGCUACAGUACUUGACACAUCUCUGAGAACAACAUCAUGACACUGUUGACACUGAAUGUUCGCUAAUGGCAUCUGCUGCCAAACUCCGAUGUAAAAUGAGUGGGAUAACAACGGCAGCAUUUAAAAAAAAACUUCAUUCAAGGGAGCAUUUAAAAUUUUAUCAGGUCUAACUGGCAUGGUGGAUUUGCAAACGUGGAGAAUAUCCAGUUUCCUUUGCUUACUCACGAGCUUCCAUGUGCAAGCCAAGUACAGCUCCAUCCCCUGGGGCAGGGAAACCCAGAGGUGCAGCAGCCAUCCAAACAUCUGUCCUCGCAGCAUGUGGUGUCUGCCUGGGCUCAGAGCAGGAAUGUUAAACUGCCUCAAAGACCUCGACUGAACCUGGGAAAGGCUCCUGGAUUUUGGUGGUCCAUUAAGCCCUUAAAAACAUCUCCAUGUAAAUGGUGAGAAAAAUGAUAAACAUUCUCUAGUUGUCUAAAAAAAAUGCAAGAGAAAUAAGAAUGAGAUUUUCUAUCUGACUGCUGUUUUUACUUUUAUUCCCCCGUGCCUAUUUGGCUUAACAUCUUC